rnacentral:rRNA from 1 species
AGUGAACGCUGGCGGCAGGCCUAACACAUGCAAGUCGAACGAACUCUCCGGAGUUAGGGGCGUCUGGGGGAGGAAGACGAGGGAACGUUCACUUUGGGACGGCCUAACUCAGAGACAGUUGUGAUAAUAGCGAACGUGCGCUAAGGGGGAAAGAUUUAUCGCAAUUAGAGCGGCAAGAGUCUGAUAAGGUGGUUCGUUAGGUAACGGAUCACCAAGGCGCCAAUCAGUAGCUGGUCUGAGAGGCAGACCAGCCACACUGGGACUCAGACGCGGCCCAGACUCCUACGGGAGGCAGCAGUGGGGAAUCUUGCGCAAUGGGCGAAGGCCUGACGCAGCCAUGACGCGUGAAUGAUGAAGGUCUUAGGAUUGUAAAAUUCUUUCACCGGGGACGAUAAUGACGGUACCCGGAGAAGAAGCCCCGGCUAACUUCGUG